rnacentral:rRNA from 1 species
AACGAACGCUGGCGGCAUGCCUAACACAUGCCAGUCGAACGAGACCUUCGGGUCUAGUGGCGCACGGGUGCGUAACGCGUGGGAACCUGCCCUUAGGUUCGGAAUAACUCCCCGAAAGGGGUGCUAAUACCGGAUAAUGUCUUCGGACCAAAGAUUUAUCGCCUUUGGAUGGGCCCGCGUUGGAUUAGCUAGUUGGUAGGGUAAAAGCCUACCAAGGCGACGAUCCAUAGCUGGUCUGAGAGGAUGAUCAGCCACACUGGGACUGAGACACGGCCCAGACUCCUACGGGAGGCAGCAGUGGGGAAUAUUGGACAAUGGGCGAAAGCCUGAUCCAGCAAUGCCGCGUGAGUGAUGAAGGCCUUAGGGUUGUAAAGCUCUUUUACCCGGGAUGAUAAUGACAAUACCGGGAGAAUAAGCUCCGGCUAACUCCGUG